UCGUAUAGAAAUACGAUGACGCGGAUAUAGAUAGUCGGAAUCAAUUUUGGUUUGUGAUUAUGUGGUUAUAUGGUUGAGUCGGUCUAGAGUAUAUCCUAGAAUUUAGAGUUAUUACAUUUAUUAAUGUUUAAUCUCUAAAUUAGAUCCAGCGAAUUUUGUCGCGGAAACCGGCGAGCAAAGGUUUCGAUAUUCGACGGGUGGUAUUUUUAUAUUUGGAAUAAGCGAGUACUGCGAGUAGUUUGACGUGUGGAUUUCCAAUUUCUUGUUCCGGAAAUCCCUGGCUUGAAUAAAGUGAGAAUGACCUUUCCUUUAUGUGUCUAGAGUUGCAGUAGCUAGAAUAAUGAACGGUGAUACCUUAGUAGUCGUUGGACUUAUUUAUGCUUUAUAUUUCAUAACGCUUAAACUCUGAUAUAAUGUAAUAUGUGAAUGCUGUGCGAAAGUCCGAGCGACUGCACGAGUAUAAAAUGCGGCGAGCGCAUCUGCAUAAUGAAAUGCAGUUAAAUCCAUAAUGAAAUGGUCUGCAUAAUGAAAUGCGGUUAAGUC